CAGACGGGUGAGUAAUGCUUAGGACUCUGCCUAUGAGUGGGGGACAACUUUCCCAAAGGGAUGCUAAUACCGCACACGUCCUACUGGAGAAAGCAGGGGAUCUUUAUGACCUUGCGCUAAUAGAUGAGCCUAAGUCGGAUUAGCUAGUUGGUGGGGUAAAGGCCUACCAAGGCGACGAUCUGUAGCGGGUCUGAGAGGAUGAUCCGCCACACUGGGACUGAGACACGGCCCAGACUCCUACGGGAGGCAGCAGUGGGGAAUAUUGGACAAUGGGGGGAACCCUGAUCCAGCCAUGCCGCGUGUGUGAAGAAGGCCUUUUGGUUGUAAAGCACUUUAAGUGGGGAGGAGGCUUACCUGGUUAAUACCUGGGCUAAGUGGACGUUACCCACAGAAUAAGCACCGGCUAACUCUGUGCCAGCAGCCGCGGUAAUACAGAGGGUGCGAGCGUUAAUCGGAUUUACUGGGCGUAAGCGCGCGGUAUGUG
rnacentral:rRNA from 1 species